rnacentral:rRNA from 1 species
CCCUUAGAUGUCCUGGGCUGCACGCGCGCUACACUGACGAACUCAACGAGCUUAUCACCUUGGCAGAGAUGUCUGGGUAAUCUUUUGAAAGUUCGUCGUGCUGGGGAUAGAUGAUUGUAAUUAUUCGUCUUGAACGAGGAAUUCCUAGUAAGUGUGAGUCAUCAGCUCGCGCUGAUUACGUCCCUGCCCUUUGUACACACCACCCGUCGCUCCUACCGAUUGAAUGGUCCGGUGAGGUUCUCGGAUUUUUUCUGUUGUUUGGUUCGCUAAACGAUUGAAGAGAGAAGUUACCCAAACCUUACCAUUUAGAGGAAGGAGAAGUCGUAACA